rfam:Lysinibacillus xylanilyticus strain DSM 23493 Scaffold4, whole genome shotgun sequence.
CAUAGGAGAACGAAGGCUAAAAGCAUCACGUCUUGUGAUAACGCCUUCGUGACCAACAUCCUGUUGG